UUUGUAUUUUUAAAUAGUUUUUUUAACAUGGCCUAAAAAUUGCAAAUUCCAUUCGUGUUUGUGUCUGUGCAAGUAAAUUGUGAAGUAUUGUAAUGUGCAUUUAAAUUUAUGUACCUACUUGUAUUAAUGUUUUAGCCAUGAGGCAAGAUGAACCGUUGCCAGAAUCCCCUUUCCGUAUCCGUGGUCCCGUAUACGGCGAACAGCACGUGGGGAAAAUGAGGAUCUACAUAUAUGUGUGUGCUGGGAUCGCUUUAGUAUUACUCGUCUGCUUACUCAUCUUCCUUCUUGUGACGUAUAUAUAACCAAUAUAAAAUAACAAUUGUAUGAAAUGAAUUAGCGUUCUAAUAUGGAAAAAGGUGGUACCACAAAAUCGAAAGCCGAUACCGCAAAAUCGAAAACUGAUACCACACAGAAAGCAAUACCUAAUGUACCGCCGGGGAAACCAACUGGUACGCCACAGAAGAUACCUGGUAGUACCCCCACCCUACCGCCGGGUCAAGCUGGUGCCCAGGAAUUUCCGGAUCAGAAGUGUAUUUGUCCGCAAGGGACUGGCAUGGGCAACAAGAAAUGCUACAUCUUCUCUGGCAUAUUGCUCGGUUUGCUCGUCAUCGGUUUCGUUAUCUACGCUGUUUUCUGUACACACCCCGAGUUCUUAAAUUCUUUAAAAGGAUUGUAAUAGAGG